rnacentral:rRNA from 1 species
AUACGUAGGUGGCAAGCGUUGUCCGGAAUUACUGGGUGUAAAGGGCGUGUAGGCGGGGAUGCAAGUCAGGUGUGAAAAACCAUGGCUCAACUGUGGUCUUGCAUCUGAAACUGUAUUUCUUGAGUACUGGAGAGGGAAGUGGAAUUCCUAGUGUAGCGGUGAAAUGCGUAGAGAUUAGGAGGAACACCAGUGGCGAAGGCGGCUUCCUGGCCAGAGACUGACGCUGAGGCGCGAAAGCGUGGGGAGCAAACAGGAUUAGAUACCCUGGUAGUCCACGCCGUAAACGAUGGAUACUAGGUGUAGGUGGUAACAAGCCAUCUGUGCCGGAGCAAACGCAAUAAGUAUCCCACCUGGGGAGUACGGCCGCAAGGCUGAA